AUGUCACCAGCAGGCGGGGCCGCAUCGCCCUGGUGCUCCGCGCCGGGAUUCCCCUGCAUGCAUGCACCAAGUGGAGCGGGAUCUUCUGCAUCCGUAGACCCUGUGGAUACCAGGGUGAUUCGUGGAGACGGGGCCACACCAGACUCUACAGGAUCUUCUGCAUCAACGCCGGUGGGAUCUUCUGUGGCCGACUCCCCUGUGCAACAUGAACAGCCAGCGGUGUCUACACGUGUUAUGACAUGUCUUCAGAAAGGUAUUAAAAAUCCAAAAAUACGUACUGAUGGCACAAUACCAUAUGGCAUGUUGUGUAUCUCAGGUGAACCAACAACGUUGAAUGAGGCACUGGAUGAUCCAAGGUGGAAGAAAGCCAUGGAUGAAGAAUACUCAACACUCAUGAAAAGUAAAACUUGGCAUCUCCUACCAGAUCAGAGAGGUAUCACUUUUCACGAUACCUAA
rnacentral:rRNA from 1 species